rnacentral:misc_RNA from 1 species
AAGUCGUAACAAGGUUUCCGUAGGUGAACCUGCGGAAGGAUCAUUACCGAAGUACAGGCCCUCUCGAGGGCUAAACUUCCACCCUUUGUUAACUAUACUUUGUUGCUUUGGCGAGACGCCUCACGGCCACCGGCUCCGGCUGGUGAGUGCUCGCCGGAGAAAACCCAAACCCAAACUUUUUUAGUGUUGUCUGAGAACUAAGUUUAAUUAUUAAAA